rnacentral:lncRNA from 1 species
GACUGCACCAUGGGAGAGCAAUGAACAAGAGCUGAAGAAGUUGUCAAGGAAGGCUUCAUGGAGUCAGUGGUUCUAUGGGCCAGGCCUGGGCCUUUUUAGAGUUGAAGUUGAAGGUGAGACAGAAAUCAGAGUCCAGUUGCAACCAGCCUCUUGUGUGAGGGCCAGCAAAGCUGCAAAUUCUAUCAGGGAAGAAAGAAGGUGGGAAAAAAAUUUGAUAAUUGCCAAAUCAAACCUAAUUAAUCAUUUGUUCUUGACUAGAAAUGUGUGUUUUACAAUGGGGCCUGGCCAGGAAAUAGCAAUGACACAUGAGAUCUGACCCUGGUCCUGUGGGAAUAUUAUGUCCAUCCUGCUUUCUGGGGAGGUCUAUGCAAAAAAAUUGGAGAAAAAAAAUUUGUUUUUCCCUUCUUGGGUUCUUGCAUGCAUGAGUGGAGAACAGUGGCAAACACUUAAAAAAUCAAUCUGAAUGAUAUGCACUAUGCAAAUUACUUUAUUAUAAUCUUUAAUAUUGACUAUCAAUGUUGGAUUAACACUAGGAAUACAGGGUUAGUUCAAUAUUGGGAAAACUAUAAGCCUAAUUGACCAUUGUAUUAUUUCUAAAAUGCAAAGUUUAAAUUCUUUUGAGAGUAAUUUUAGGUUAAGAAACAUGCUACCUCCAAGAAUCUAGAAAGUGAACUGUUUGGAGAAGGCACCAUGAAGAUGCCUGCACAGGCCACACGGUGCACCAGAAGAUCCAGAGUAUGGUGAUUUGAAAUGUGUGGGGUUAAAUGCAUUUGUUUUUGUAUGUAUACUCUUAUGCCAAAGGGGACUGCCCCCUAAUUGGCUUUUUGUCAAUGCUCUUAGCAAUCAUUAGUUUUGUUCUUUUUCCCUUUUAUCCCCAAAUUAUUAUAAUUUAAAAGCUGGUUAUGUUUACAAGAUCCAUUGGCGAGAUCAGUCUUCCACGGAUCUCAGGGGGGGAUGUAUAAGUUACUCUAAAAAAGAACUACAUUUCCAGGGAGCCCAUUGACUUACUGUCAUUACAUACUUCCUAUAGAAAAGGGAUAAAUUGAGUGGGAGGUCCUACUUUGUCUUUUUUUGGCUUGUAACAAGCAUGGUGGAGAUGAUAAACUAAGCACAGGGAUUUUUAAAUGGGCUAAUCAGCCAUGGGCACAUGGUCUUUAUUUUAUAUCCUCUUUAUUUCUUGAUUUCUAAUGAUCAUUAAUAAAUCUUUUUAAUAUAAUAUUUUUAUUAAGAUU